rnacentral:rRNA from 1 species
UGCCUAACCUGCAAGUCGAACGAACCCUUCGGGGUUAGUGGCGCACGGGUGCGUAACGCGUGGGAACCUGCCUUUAGGUUCGGAAUAACUCAGAGAAAUUUGAGCUAAUACCGGAUAAUGUCUUCGGACCAAAGAUUUAUCGCCUUUAGAUGGGCCCGCGUUAGAUUAGAUAGUUGGUGGGGUAAUGGCCUACCAAGUCGACGAUCUAUAGCUGGUCUGAGAGGAUGAUCAGCCACACUGGGACUGAGACACGGCCCAGACUCCUACGGGAGGCAGCAGUGGGGAAUAUUGGACAAUGGGCGAAAGCCUGAUCCAGCAAUGCCGCGUGAGUGAUGAAGGCCUUAGGGUUGUAAAGCUCUU